rnacentral:rRNA from 1 species
GGGUGAUGGCGUGCCUUUUGUAGAAUGAACCGGCGAGUUACGUUUACGUGCAAGGUUAAGGUGAAAAGCCGCAGCCGCAGCGAAAGCGAGUCUGAAUAGGGCGAAUGAGUACGUAGGCGUAGACCCGAAACCGUGUGAUCUACCCCUGUCCAGGGUGAAGGUGCGGUAACACGCACUGGAGGCCCGAACCCACGAAUGUUGAAAAAUUCGGGGAUGAGGUGGGGGUAGCGGAGAAAUUCCAAUCGAACUCGGAGAUAGCUGGUUCUCCCCGAAAUAGCUUUAGGGCUAGCCUCGGAGGAAGAGUCGUGGAGGUAGAGCACUGAUUGGGUGCGGGGCCCGCCAAGGGUUACCAAGCUCAGUCAAACUCCGAAUGCCAUGGACUUAUUAUCCGGGAGUCAGACAAUGGGUGCUAAGGUCCGUUGUCAAGAGGGAAACAGCCCAGACCAUCAGCUAAGGCCCCUAAGUGUACGUUAAGUGGGAAAGGAUGUGGAGUUGCCCAGACAACCAGGAUGUUGGCUUAGAAGCAGCCAUCAUUUAAAGAGUGCGUAAUAGCUCACUGGUCGAGUGACUCUGCGCCGAAAAUGUAACGGGGCUAAACGUACCGCCGAAGCUAUGGAUUGAUGCUUCUUGCAUCAGUGGUAGGGGAGCGUUGUGUACCGGGUUGAAGGCAGACCGGAAGGACUGCUGGACUGUACACAAGUGAGAAUGCCGGUAUGAGUAACGAAAAGACAUGUGAGAAUCAUGUCCGCCGAAAGCCUAAGGGUUCCUGGGGAAGGCUCGUCCGCCCAGGGUAAGUCGGGACCUAAGGCGAGGCCGAAAGGCGUAGUCGAAGGACAACAGGUUGAAAUUCCUGUACCACCGCAGCCGUUAUGAGCAAUGGGGGGACGCAGAAGGAUAGGGACGCGAGCUGAUGGAUGCUCGUCCAAGCAGUGAGGCUGGUCAGUAGGCAAAUCCGCUGACCGUAAGGCUGGGCUGUGACGGGGAGGGAAAAUUACAGUACCGAAGGUCUUGAUUUCAUGCUGCCAAGAAAAGCCUCUAGCCAGGUGAAGGUGCCCGUACCGCAAACCGACACAGGUAGGCGAGAAGAGAAUUCUAAGGCGCGCGGAAGAACUCUCGUUAAGGAACUCGGCAAAAUGACCCCGUAACUUUGGGAGAAGGGGUGCCCCGGUAGGGUGAAUAGCCCGAGGGGGCCGCAGUGAAUAGGCCCGAGCGACUGUUUAGCAAAAACACAGGUCUGUGCGAAGCCGUAAGGCGAAGUAUACGGGCUGACGCCUGCCCGGUGCUGGAAGGUUAAGGGGAGUGGUUAGCUCUUAGAGCGAAGCUAUGAACCGAAGCCCCAGUAAACGGCGGCCGUAACUAUAACGGUCCUAAGGUAGCGAAAUUCCUUGUCAGGUAA